GCAUGGAGACUCUCUUUGCAACUUGUGUGCCGUUACAGAUGUGGGAUCAUAAUCUGAGACAGUUUGCUACAAUAGUUUUGAAAUGUUUGUCGAAAGAGAGAUCAGAGUCCAGAGUAACGCCAAGGUCUUUCAUAGUUAUUUUUUGACAACCGUACCACCAUUGAGAUGAAUUAUCAAAUCAAACAGCAGAUCUCUUUAGUUUUUUGUGACCUAGAACUAGCAUCUCUGGCAAUCCACUUCCUUAUGUCUGAAAAACAGGCUUCCAGGGUAGGCAAUUUUGGGGAUUCACCAUGUUUCAUCGAAAUGUACAGCUGUGUGUCUUCUGCAUAGUAGUGAAAAUUGACAUUGUGUUUCCCGAAUGACAUCACCAAGAGGUAACAUAUAGAGCCCCACAGUGGAAAUAAAAGUCAACAUGUUCUAUAUAGAUUUACACGGUUAUCAAAACGUCAUGCCAGGGUAAGCCUACACGAAACACAGCCCUUAUUUUAAGUGUUUCUAAAAAUCCCCUAUAGGAAAGAUUAACUGUAGAAAACGAUUGGAACCAUUUCCCUGUUUGACCACUAGGUUUUAUGCAGAUGUUGACAUGGACAAACAGACAGAGAUAUCCAUCAGUCUGGGUCCUGAGGUGGGGCUUGUGGGGCUGGCAGGGAUGGUGGAGUUUGCCUACACUGGGGCCUUAGCAGCUCUGAAAAAACACACACUGGCCCAGAUACAGACUGCAGCUACAACACUAGGGGUCCCCAGAGUUCUAGAACUCUGCAGUGAAGAGGAGGAGAAGAUGAAGAAGGGAGUAGAGAAGAGGGCAGAAGAGAAGACGAUCUCUGCUGAAGAACAGAUGAAGGUCAGUCUUCAGUCCAUCAGAGAGCUGUGGGCAGAGAGAGAGGGCUGUGAUGUGGAGCUGGAGGUUGGUGGGACAAAUCAAAUCAAAUGUUAUUUGUCACGUGCCGAAUAAAACAAGUGUAGACCUUGCCGUGAAAUACGUACAAGCCCUUAACCAACAAUGCUGUUAAAAA